AUGUGGCGCAGAUCGGCUGGAAAGCUGCCACAGCCGGCAGCUGCGCUCAGGCGGGGGCCAGUGGGCAGAGGGGGACCCUGGCACCCCCCUGGGCACCGUCCCCGCAGCCCCAGCAGCCCCCUCCUCACGGCUCCGGUGGGGCCUUGGUGGGGCUGGCCAUCCUCCGGGCGCUGUAGAAGGAGAGGCAGAGCCCGGCGGCUGCCAGCAGCAGGGCCAGGGGGGUCAGCAGCCCCCCCGGCUCAGCCCCCCGCCCUGCCGCCAGCUGCAUCUGCGGGGGGAGAGGGGAGCGCCGUGAGACCCCGAGCCCCAAACCCGCCGGGGACAAGGGCUCUGUGGCCGUGCCCUGAACGUCCCCAUCAUGCUCAGCUGCAACGUAAGGGCGAUGGGGGCCGCUGCGUGGCCCCCCCAGGGUGUCCGGGGGUGCUUUUCCCAUGCAGCACUUGGGGCUCCCCCGCAGCACCCUCGCUGCGAACCCAGAGCCAGGAUGUGGCCAGGCACAGCUCCCGUGGCCAGCAGGCCUGGUGGGCAGCAUGGGCAGGGUGCCGGGGGUCCCCAUGGGCUUCCCCCCCACCACCCUGCUUCCCCCUUACCUGGAGCAGACGGAAAUACCCCGGGGUUAAGCGUCUGGGGCGGAUGAUCAUGGCGCAGCGGGGAGCAGCAGGAUCAGGCCCCGUGGGUCAGCAGCAGUGGGGCUGGGCCUCUGCCCCCCCAGUCCUGGGACCACUGUGGUGGGGGGCUGCGUCUGACACCCGCCUGCCGGCCCUGCAGCCCCUUCGGAAAGGGCGGCACGCGCCCGGCGAGCACCGAGCAGCUGUCAGCCGCGAUCAGCGCCCGCUGCUCCCCCAAGCGCACACGCCGGGGCGGGGGGAGACGGGCGCUGAGGCGCUGGCGGGGGGGCCGGUGCCAGCCCAGGGCAGAUUUGGGGGGGCCGGAGAGCCAAGCUCGGCUCAGGGGCAGCCCCUCCACAGGCCUAAUGCGGGCUGCCCCCUGCCUCAGUUUCCCCACCUGCAAAGGGAGGGGUGGGAAUUAUGCCUGGGGUGGGUGGGGGGUGGCGGGUGUCACCCCCCCUUCCCCAAAACCCCCGGGCAGGGGGGAGGUGGCUAA
rnacentral:lncRNA from 1 species